rnacentral:rRNA from 1 species
UGGUGGAUUGAUUUGUCUGGUUGAUUCCGAUAACGAACGAGAUCUCUGCAAGAUACCUGGUCUGACAGGGCCUUUUCCCUGCUCAGUCAGUUUCUGGACAGGGCAUGGCAAGUGCAAGGAAGUGGAGGCAAUAACA